rnacentral:lncRNA from 1 species
AAUCAACAAAAUAGCUUAGAUAACCUGAGUUUUGAAAACAUAGUAAUCUAAUACUUGUAAAGAUUAUGCAACCCGAUACUGGAAACAAAACAGUUCUAAAGCAAAUACUGAGGCGGACACCGGACAAAUGCUGAAAACAGAGACUGAAAUUCUGGCACUGAAACAGAUACUUACAUAACUUGAGUCCCAAAACUUAUACUGAACAGAUAACAGAUACUGAACAUAAUCAGAUGCAUAUAAACAUAUCAACAUAUCAUAACAGAGACAAGACAUACGUGACAACAUAUAACAGUAAAACAAGUCACGUAAUAUAGAAGCACCCACGAGCCUAAACAGAGGCAUGCAUGGCUAUAGUCCAUGCGCCGAGAUGGUGCAUGUAGGCGUACACACAUUAUUCCAUCUCAACAGGAGUCAGGAGUCAGGAGUCAGGAGUCAGAGCUAAGAUCGAUCUAUUCGCCUCUAGGGGCCAUGUGCUACACAAGCACAAACUAGAAACGCCGUGAACUUUAGUUACGCACCGUCACGAUGAGUGCCAUGCCGUUGACGCCCCAACGACAAGUAACUUAUAAUUGCUCGGGUGACAGAGUACAAAGCGUAUCAGAAAUAAAAUUUCUUGACAUAAGUCUAAAGGGAACAUGCAAUAACGAGCACAAAAUCUAAGGUUUAUUGCAUGCUACAACAAAUACUAAUCACGAAAGAGAAACAACUAGCGAAAAUACCCGUACUACAAAGUAACGGACGUGAAUAAUAAUACUAUGAUGAAAAGAAAACAGAAUCCGUACCUUAUUAGCAAGCAAAGCAAAACCAAAUAAUCAAGUCGACCCGAAAAAUCAAAAACCUAUAAUCCCGUUAUAAUCUUAAUUAGUUUUAUGAAAAUUUAUAUACAUUAAGUGGUUCAUUCGUUGAGUGGUUCC